CGGAUGUAGUUCAAUGGUAGAACGCUAGCUUCCCAAGCUCGUAAUGCGGGUUCGAUUCCCGUCAUCCG
rnacentral:tRNA from 1 species